rnacentral:lncRNA from 1 species
CUCAUUAGAAACAUUGUCCCCUGCUCCGCCUCACACCCCCAGGUGCUUCUCCGUGAUAGAUUUUGAUUCUUCAUUUCCACCCAAAUUAGCUCCUCCGAUCAAUCGUCCUUCCUCACCUUCGAUCGCGUUAUCAUUUCCUCAUCUUUACAUCCAAAAUACUGUUUACUGUUAAUAUCGUCUCGUUUAAACGGCGGGGAAAGGUUGAAAAGAGGCGGUCUGAUCGAUGGCGUCGUCGUCCAACAGAGACGUUAUUUGAAGCGCUCAGUCAUAGCCCUCCCCUCACAGUGAUGAACACAAUAAUCACAGCCAUGUGACGGCUAAGUGGGGCAUUCCUGGCCCCCUGACAGCCACCCACCUGCCUUGAUUGAUGAUAUUGUUUUUAAAAAGUGAAAAUAGUUGGAGGGGCGAGCAGGGAGGGACUCUCUCUCUCUCUCUCGUUCUCUCUCCUCCAAAAGUCACAUUCCUGCAGGAAUAAAGAGCAGCAUUGUGGAGACUAAUCCACUUCAGUGAAGCGCUGUUAUUCUGUGUGUGGGAGAGAGAGUGUGUGUGCUGUUGUCCCCUCUGUGUGUCUAUGUGGGAGUGUGUAUUUAAUUAGGAGGUACACAAAAAUACAUGAAAUAUUAAAGGGUGUGUGUGUGAGAGAGAGAGGAGUCAGUGUGAAGGUCUGAGAGCGUGGUUCUGCUGUAUGUCGGGUUGAUUGAGGUCUGGACUGUGAUGUGAUAGUGAUGGACACAGCAGUUCUUUUAGAUGUACUGAAUCACUAGAAUCAGUUCACUAAAAAGAUUCGUUCACUAAAUCACCGAAUCAUGUAGCACUUGUCAGGAGAAGCCUGCGACUCCGACCUCCUGAACUGAUACACAGCUGAACAUUUCAGGAUUCAGUUCAGAUCAAUUUAUGUUAUUGUUCAGGUCUGCUCGGUAAAUUGGGCUCAGUCAGUGAUUCGUUCAUUGAACAUUUAGAAGAAUUCACACUGAACAUGAACCGUUCCCUCGCAAACCGCUGCAAUGAUCGGACUCUGCUGGUUUAAUGAACUACUUGUAACAUACCGUGUCCUAUUGUAUGAAAGUUGUUGUGUUGGCAAUUUAGCCUUGAAAAAAAAAAAAAGUUAGUUUUGUCUGACAAAAAUGACUCCAGAGAGUGUAGUUCAAUGGGUGAUUCGUUCACCAAGUGAUUCAGGUGUCGGUGCAUGUGAUCCAUCGUUCGCCGGCUGCUGGUCUGGCAACGCUGUUACUGAAGUGAGAAACGAACGAAUCACUCGAGGAAGUGAUUUGGUUCAGUAUGUUCACUUAAAAGAUUCGGUUCUUUUGAACAAAUCGUUCGCGCACGACACAACACUACACUGGAUAGGUUUAGAUCGCCUUCAUAUAUAUAUAUAUAUAUAUAUAUAUAUAUAUAUAUAUAUAUGUAUAUAUAUAUGUAUAUAUAUAUAUACACACACACACACAGUCACGCUUACCUAGCCAACAGGGGACUAUCAUCCCAGACGGACCAAGAGAGGACCUCUAUUUCUGGUCAUUUUAAUAAAACAAAAAUAUAACAGAAAACUUCCUUUUAAGGUCUUUUACCAUAAUUUGUGUCUGUGUGGGAGUGUGUAUGUAAUCUGCGUCACACACAAAUACAUGGAGCAUUUUUUUGUUUGUUUGUACUUUUAAAGGGUGUUUGUGUGUGUGUGUAUGUGUGUGUGUGUGUGUGUGUGUGUGUGUGCGUGCGUGCGUGCGUGCAUGCGUGUGUGCGCGCGUGUGUGUGUGUGUGUGUGUGUGUGUGUGUGUGUGAGGAGUCAGUGUGAAGGUCUGAGAGCG